rnacentral:rRNA from 1 species
AUGUGGUAUCUCUGUAGGGGAGUUGUGCUAACAAAAGAUAACCUCGCACGACGCAACUGGUCGGGAAGUAAGAAGUGUUGUUUUUGUACUCACGACGAAACAAUUAAACACCUCUUUUUUCACUGUAAGUUUGCGCGUUCUACGUGGUCAGCCAUUCAAAUAGCGUCAAAUUUGUAUCCGCCCACAAGUGUUGCCAAUAUUUUUGGUCAUUGGCUGGACGGUAUUCCAAAUAGAUACAAAACGCUAAUAAGGGUGGGAGCGUAUGCCUUACUAUGGCCGCUUUGGCUAUGUAGAAAUGAUGUUGUUUUUAAUGACAAAUCUGUUUUUCCUCUGCGGGUUAUUUUCUGUUGUACGGACUCGCUUCGUACGUGGUAUACGCUACAACGAGCGGAGUACCAACUGCUGUUCAAGGCGGCGUGUACGCUGUUGGAGCAGGUGGCUACGGAGGUUUUUACCCAACAUGGAUGGCAGCAUAAUCUCCGGCUCGGUCCACCAUCUCUUUCGACAUAG